rnacentral:rRNA from 2 species
UACGUAGGGGGCUAGCGUUGUCCGGAAUCACUGGGCGUAAAGGGUUCGCAGGCGGAAAUGCAAGUCAGAUGUAAAAGGCAGUAGCUUAACUACUGUAAGCAUUUGAAACUGCAUAUCUUGAGAAGAGUAGAGGUAAGUGGAAUUUUUAGUGUAGCGGUGAAAUGCGUAGAUAUUAAAAAGAAUACCGGUGGCGAAGGCGACUUACUGGGCUCAUUCUGACGCUGAGGAACGAAAGCGUGGGUAGCAAACA